UACGGAGGAUGCGAGCGUUAUCCGGAUUUAUUGGGUUUAAAGGGUGCGUAGGCGGGAUGCCAAGUCAGCGGUAAAAAUGCGGUGCUCAACGCCGUCGAGCCGUUGAAACUCGCGUUCUUGAGUGGGCGAGAAGUAUGCGGAAUGCGUGGUGUAGCGGUGAAAUGCAUAGAUAUCACGCAGAACUCCGAUUGCGAAGGCAGCAUACCGGCGCCCUACUGACGCUGAGGCACGAAAGCGUGGGUAUCGAACAGG
rnacentral:rRNA from 1 species